CACCCGAUUCUCAAAGGUAAAUAUCAGCUGGUAAUUCUGGGAGCAAUGCCUAAAUAUGAAACACUCGGAAUUUCAGUUGGUAUCGACUUUUUUGAAUUG
rfam:Drosophila virilis strain TSC#15010-1051.87 Ctg01_16447, whole genome shotgun sequence.